GCCAGAGGUCAAGAACACAGAUAAGGGAUGGGUGUAGUAGAGGCCACUAAGGGUUUAGCUGGAGAUAUUAGGAUCGAGAAGCUUUGGGGCCAGAAAGGAGAGGCUGACCAAAGCAUAUCCGUACAGUCUGAUAUUCAGCUUAACUGAAACAGAACUUACAGCAUUAAUGGAGAUUUGUUCCACCAUAAAUGAAAAAUGGAGGUUCUGCAUAUUUGCAUGCUUCGUAGGCUCCAUCAUCCUGCUUUACUGUCUGAAUCAUGACCAAGACAGCGUAAACCUUUUGGUCUCGGGGAACACUGACAUAUCCACGACAUCAUCCAAUGACUCGGAGCAGCAUUCAGCAGCUGACAUGGCUUUCGCUGCUUCCGGAAACAUUGCCAUAACCAUGACAUCGUCCAACCACUCGAAUCAACAUUCAGCAGCUGACAUGCAGUUCUUGCAACCAUCGAACACAACAGGAAAUGGAACAAACGUAAACGAGAAGGAAGAUAGCUGCAAUAUCUUUGAUGGUAAAUGGACUUAUGACCCAACGACAAGUCCUCUGUAUCAUGGAUCACAUUGUCCAUUUCUUAGUGACCAAGUUUGUUGCCAAAGGAAUGGCAGACCAGAUUUUGAAUACGAAAAUUGGAGCUGACAAGCAAAGAGGUGUCAGAUUCCUAGGCUUAAUGGUACAGAUAUGUUAGAGAGACUUAAAAGGGAAGAGAUUGAUUAUAGUUGGCGAUUCCAUCAACAGAAAUCAAUAUGAGUCUCUUGUUUGCCUUCUUUACUCUGCUAUUCCUUCCUCGCAAGCCGAUGUUUAUAUGAAGGGACGCUCCAUGUUUUUUAGAGCGAAGGUAAGAGAGAACAAUACUUUCUUAUGCAUUUCAGCUGCACCACUGCUGAUUUUAUUUCUUCAUUGAAGUGGCUAUAGGCCUCACUAUAAUUGUCAAUGACCUUAACAACAACAAUACAAUUGUUCUGUGGAGUUCUAUUGGAGCCCUUUUCUAGUGCAAUUGAAACCAAAGCAAGAAAUUGGUGGCCGAAUUCUAAGGAUAGACAAACUUUCUGACUGGGAAAGGAGCUGUCGUGGUGCUAAUAUUAUGCUAUUUAACAGUGGUCAUUGGUGACUUCACCGUGGGAGUUUGGAAAUAUGGGACUUGUUUCAGUAUAAAGGAAAGGUGGUGGAGGAGAUGGAGAUCCAAUCAGCAUUUGGCAAUGAAGACCUGGUCUCGCUGGAUUGAUCGCAACGUAGACAUGACCACUACAAAGGUUUUUUCCCGAAGCUUCUCACCAGCACACCAUGGGAAGGAAUGGUGCCACAAUCAAACCUAACCCAUCAAGGAUGAGUCCUAUGUAGCAAAGUUCCCAAUCCAAUUGAAGAGGUCAUUGAGAAAACAAUUGCACGCAUGAGGACACCAGUGAGGUAUUUGAACAUCACAAAACUAACUCAGUAUCGAAAAGAUGCGCAUACGUCAGUUUACACAAUAAGACAAGGGAAGCAAGUG